GACGAACCGAGCGAACGUUGUUCGGAAUCACUGGGCUUAAAGGGCGCGUAGGCGGGUGCUCAAGUCCGGGGUGAAAUCCCACAGCUCAACUGUGGAACUGCCUCGGAUACUGGGCGUCUCGAGUGUGGUAGGGGUAUGCGGAAUGUGACAAGUAGCGGUGAAAUGCAUAGAUAUGUCACAGAACACCAAUUGCGAAGGCAGCCUACUAUGGUAUGAUUGACGCUGAGGCACGAAAGCGUGGGGAUCAAACAGG
rnacentral:rRNA from 1 species